ACGGGGUGCAGCAGGCGCGAAACCUUUGCAAUGUGCGCAAGCACGACAAGGUUAAUCCGAGUGUUUCCUGCUAAAGGAAUCUUUUGUUAGUCGUAAAACCACUGAUGAAUAAGGGGUGGGCAAGUUCUGGUGUCAGCCGCCGCGGUAAAACCAGCACCUCAAGUGGUCAGGAGGAUUAUUGGGCCUAAAGCAUCCGUAGCCGGCUCUGCAAGUUUUCGGUUAAAUCCAUUUGCUUAACAAAUGGGCUGCCGAAAAUACUACAUAGCUAGGGAGUGGGAGAGGUAGACGGUAUUCGGUAGGAAGGGGUAAAAUCCUUUGAUCUAUUGGGGACCACCUAUGGCGAAGGCAGUCUACCAGAACACGUUCGACGGUGAGGGAUGAAAGCAGGGGGAGCAAACCGGAUUAGAUACCCGGGUAGUCCCAGCUGUAAACGAUGCAGACUCGGUGAUGCGCUGGCUUGUGGCCAGUGCAGUGCCGCAGGGAAGCCGUUAAGUUUGUCGCCUGGGAAGUACGUACGCAAGUAUGAAACUUAAAGGAAUUGGCGGGGGAGCAC
rnacentral:rRNA from 2 species